GUGCAUUGGCACGUUAUGUUGUUGUUCGGUAUAAAUAUGAUGAGUGCAGCGUGUGCCUCAUCAUUGUGAAGAUGAAGCUGUGUCUUACUGUGUUGUUGGUGAGCCUGGCUGUGCUAGCUGCAGCGGAAGGGGAGCGUGAUGAAGGCCCCCAUCACUUGGAAAGAAGGCAGAUACAAGGCCCGACGUUUCCGAAUGCCUGCGUGUUCUAUGAAUGCAUUGCUAGCUGCAGAAGGAAGGGAUACAAAAAUGGCGGAUACUGCGCUUUUACUGGAUGCGUAUGCAUGCGGUAGGACCCAGCCUAGUUACCAAAAAAUUGAAGAACAAAAUAAUUACAAUAAAUAAUAUCUUCUAUCGUGUGCGUCGUGUUCUUCUAUUGUAAGAUCAAUGAGCGACAUCAACCCUAGUAUCAAGGUUACUUUUGAGCGGCCGUUGACAUAAAAGAAUAGGAUAACUCUCCACGUCUGCCUUCCCCUUCAGGGAUACGGGCGAGAUGCUGCGUGAUGCAUAAGUACGUAAAAAUCCGAGCGAAGCACAGAAGGGUUUCAUAAAAACUGCAUUUGUUUGUGGAGACCUAAGUAUACACUGUAACAGUAUCCAAUACGACUUAGGUGUACUUAUGCAUAUGCGUUCUAUAAUAAGCUCAUAGUUGUUACUUUAGUUGCGAGUAAAUAAUAUUCCUGCACUACCUUUUACUUAUUUUAGCUGUUAGUGUAUAAAUGAUGGCUAUUCGACUAUACAGUAAUGAUACCAUCCUGUGUGUAGAUUAUUUGUAUGUGUUUAUUUUUCUGUCAACGCACCCGAAGUUUUUUUUUUAAUAAAAUAUUUGACAUUUUA